rnacentral:rRNA from 1 species
CUAGAAUGCCUCUGACCGGCGUAGAGAUACGCUUUCCUGGGUAAAACCAGGCAGAAUGCAAGGUGCUGCAUGGCUGUCGUCAGCUCGUGUCGUGAGAUGUUGGGUUAAGUCCCGCAACGAGCGCAACCCUUAUCAAUAGUUGCCAGCGGUUCGGCCGGGCACUCUAUUGAGACUGCCGUUGACAAAACGGAGGAAGGUGGGGAUGACGUCAAGUCCUCAUGGCCCUUACGGGCUGGGCUACACACGUGCUACAAUGGCGGUGACAAUGGGCAGCGAAGGGGCGACCCCGAGCUAAUCUCAAAAAGCCGUCUCAGUUCGGAUUGCACUCUGCAACUCGAGUGCAUGAAGUUGGAAUCGCUAGUAAUCGUGGAUCAGCACGCCACGGUGAAUACGUUCCCGGGCCUUGUACACACCGCCCGUCACACCAUGGGAGUUGGUUUUACCCGAAGAUGGUGCGCUAACCCGCAAGGGAGGCAGCCAGCCACGGUAGGAUCAGCGACUGGGGUGAAGUCGUAACAAGGUA